rnacentral:rRNA from 1 species
CUUGACACUGAACAUUGAGCCUUGAUGUGUAGGAUAGGUGGGAGGCUUUGAAGUGUGGACGCCAGUCUGCAUGGAGCCGACCUUGAAAUACCACCCUUUAAUGUUUGAUGUUCUAACGUUGACCCGUAAUCCGGGUUGCGGACAGUGUCUGGUGGGUAGUUUGACUGGGGCGGUCUCCUCCUAAAGAGUAACGGAGGAGCACGAAGG